AUUUCUUUCUGAAGUUCAGAUUUGAGUUUGAUUCAAAGUAAUUUUGCUGGAUUAUUGCUCUGUAUCAGUUUUACUCCUUAGUUUCUAGCUUUUAAUCCAUCCCCUUUGGUUUUGGCAUUUGUUGGCCUGUGAGUUAUGUUUGUACCUGUGAUUUGUGCUAAAUUUUACUACUUUCUCUAUCAAAUAUCUUGAACUAAAUCUCUUACUCUUUAAUAUCAAUUAACCCACAGAAGAAUCGGAAAUUUUCGAGCUAGGGUUUUGAUGGAUGAAAUUGGAAAAUUUUAUUAUUUUCUAUCUGUUUCUUCUUCUUUUUUGUUUCAAAUUCAUGAAAACGGAGUGAAUUAAUUACAGAUUUUCGAGUUAGGAUUUCGAUGGAUGAAAUUGGGAAUUUUUUUGUUUUUUGGAGAUAAUUGAAAUCAAGAAAACAAAUUCAGUUUCUUUACUUGCUUGAAUUUAUGUUUUUAUACCAAAUACCAGUUGCCUAAUUUAUGUGGUCCAUGUAAAGCAUAUAGGAGAGUAGUGAAGGCCAAGAGUGCACUAAAUACCCUGCCUCAUAUUCAUUUCCAGUUGCCUUUUCUAAGAGCUCUUUAUGUUGUAAAAGGAGAAAGAAAUCCAUAUGUUGUAAUAUCUAUCUGCUAAUGCUUUUUCUUUAUAACUGUACUAAUAGAACAAGUAGUAGUUUCGGUAUAAAAAUUAGGUGAAAUUUUGAAUAGCUCCCUACUAAUUCUAUUGAUUUAGUUGUCGAAUGAUUUAAAUACUUACUGUCAUAAUUGGAUUCGAUAUUAGAUAGGUAACUUACACUUUUAGUCUAAGAAAAACUUUUAAAAGAGGAACAAACCUGUAGCUAGAACACACAACCUUGAGAGCAAGAACACACAAUUCUCAGAGGGCCUAUGGAGAUCGGAGAAACAAAGUAUAAAGAAAUUGUGUGUUUUUGCAGUGUUUUAAUUUAACUUUUGUAUCGUAUACGUGUCUUUCAUUAUGCAACUGAAUAGUCCACCACGUAGCAUAUCACUCUACCUCUUGAGCAACACUUAGUUUUGAGUAUUUAAAACAAGUACACUUAUACCAAAUCCAGGCCACUCUGGCAGAAAUAAUGGAUGCAAUGUACUCUGACUAUCCUUUUUUAUGAAGCUAUUUAAUCUUAGAACACGUAAAGAUUUAAGAGCAUAAUCUACUGAAGCUUGAUGCAAAAACCUCAAAGAAAACUUUAUUGUAUCUUACACUUUAUUAUCUCACCUUGACCAAUUAAGCUACUACUUCUCAGAGCAGUGAACCUGCAAAAGUUAGAAUAUUGAACUAUCACUGCUAUCAUGAAAAGUGUGCAAAUCUUCAUACCAAAGCAAAAGAGGUAUGCGGAAUGCAAAUGUCCAGAUAUUAACUCAAAUGCCCACUAACUUAAAACUCUGUGUUUACUUUCACUUUCCUUACACUUGGUACUAUAACAGUAAGCCUAACCAUUCUCCCCCUACGCAACGUGGCUUUAACCCUGCAACUGAGUAGACACGUAUCAUUGGCCACUUUUUGCUAUCUGUUCAUCGCCUUCUUCUGCCUCUCUAUCAUCUCUAUUUCAUCUUCCCAUGUUGUGAUUUUGCUGAUUUUGGUAUUUCAAGCAAUAUAUAAUGAAUUACCCAGUGGGCUAUGUUGGUUGCUCUUGGUGCUUUGAAUCCAGACCUGUUAGAGCUGACGAGACUAUUUCAGUUUGCGAAACCGAUUGGGGUUAGAGCUGACGAGACUGUUAGAUCAAGGAUGGUAUUCUGCAAUAUACGCAUCCAUCAUCCACUAAGUCAAAAGGCAUGCACAGAGAAAAAGCAGUACAGCAACAACUCACCACAAUCAAAGCGUAACACCGAGAAAGGGCAAAAACCAGAUCCAGGUUUUGGACAGCAGCAGUAGCGCGGGAGCCAGUCUUUAGUCCAGUGAGACACUGAGGCAUGCACGGAGAAAAAUCAGUACAACAACAAUUCACCACAAUCAAAGCGUAGCACCGAGAACGGGCAAAAACCAGGUUCCAAGGGAUUUCAAAAAUCAUAUUUCACGUGGUGGGACCAAUUGUUUCAACGAGAAAGUACCAGGAAUAUUAUGGCUAAAGAUGGGCCAAGAUGUACAAAGACAAAUUAUUUUUGAGGAAGCAAGUUAAGUUUUGAAUGAUAUUGUUGGGAGCAUAAGAAUUGUUAUGUCAUGUUGUGCGAAAGAGAAGGUCAUGGAAAUGUGUAGAAAACAGAGCCAAGAGCUAAGGACUAAUGAAUGCAAGAAAAAGUAAGAUUUCUUAAUUGCAAUGUUUUGCAGCUUGACAAGUUUUCCCUCCUAUGAUGAUCUAUAUUUAUGUCCCAAUCAAGCUCAUUCGCACCAAGUAUAGCCAUGGUGGUUGUGCUCUAAUAUGUGCUAUUUCGGACAAGAAAUCGGAAAAUUCAAGUGAUGAUUCUGGUAUUACACAAGACAUUCUGAAGGGAAAUUUUGAGCUAUAAUAUGCAAUCUUCAGGAAGCAUCAAGGCAGCUCAAGUACAAGAAUUGAAAGAAAAUUUGGAUAGCCAUAUCAUUUAUUAGUGUUUUGUGGAUCUUAAGGAAAAUGAAGGUCUACACAUGUCCGAAGCCACAAUUGAUGUUGUUAGAUUAGAUUAUUCUGUUUUAGUUCAAUUUGACGAUUUAUAUGAUGUAAUGUUGUGAUUUUGUCUUCAUUUAAUUUGAUGAAAUUUUUAUUC